GCUGAGCGGCAGAUGGCAGCCGGGGGGAGCAGGAAGGCGCGCGGUGCUGUGCUUCUGGCAAGAAGCUGUUCCAACAGCAAAGUGCUGUCAGAGCGUAAAGCUGAGCAACCAGAGCUGCAAUUCAGGGAAGUUCCCACGGGGUCCUGCUGCACUCCCAGCCCGUGCCCAUGGCUCGCAGACCGGCAUUAUCGCGGCGGAGCUGUGGCGGCUGCACCCUGCUGAGGAAAAAACACUUCUGUGAAGGAAGCGGCUUCCCCUUCCCAGCCCCUGCCUGGCUGUGAACCAGCAGGGCCUUUUGAAAACAUGAACGUGAGGAAAGCUGUUGUGAAAAAACACAUCUUCAUAUUCCAAGGGAGCACCAUGGACCACUUGUCCUGGCUUUUACUGCAGUGAUGUUGCAUGUGUCCUACUGAGUAUGGCAGGAGAGCUCCAGAACCACGUGCAGGUAACACAGCCACUGUCCCAGUAACACAAAUAUCCCCCCAGGCAAUGCCCUACUCCUGGCAGGGCCUGGGGCUUCCAACAAUGACCACCUGACAGAGCCAGCAGCACUGGGUGCUGGCACCAGCAGUCAAGGGAAUUGGAGAAUGGAAGUGAGCUCAGAGCCAGGUCAUUGUCCCUGCACACACAGCUCCCUUGCAGUUAAAUGGAAGUGUGGACAGCUGAGUAGAAGUCCCAGAUCCAGUAAGGAUGGAGGUCAGCAGCAUCCCUCGUUCUGCUCAUCACCAGGCAUGGGGCACAGCCCCACAGCCAAAAAAUGGCUUUGGGCAGGCAGGGUGGGGAGAAUGAUUUAAUGAGACUGUAAACUGCCUGCUAGUCCUGCACAGCUGGGCAAAAUGUCAGCUCUAAGCCCAGGCAGGUCAUGCUGCUGCACCCAGAGAGAGCAACAGCCUGUGCACCACUGCAGCCCCGCCAGCCCCAAACCAGUCCUCAUUCUAUUUCCAGUUUCCAUCUGCGGUGAGUUCAUAACUGAGCUGGACACUACGAGAUUAGAGCACAGUAGUUUGCCAUCAGGGAAACCGCAAGCAACAAAGAUAUUAUCUCUAACAGCUGGUUCUUAUUUGAGGGGAUCUGUCAGGUUCCAUGAACUGACACAACACAGCUUGGGGCUGGGUGUUGUUUUACACGCACACGUGGGCUGCCCUCACAGCAGCGCCCUGAGCAUGGCCCAGAUCACAGCGCAGCACAGCAGUGCUGUUGGCAGAGCACCCAUCCUGCACGGGGCUCAGAGCAGCCCCCAGCCGUGCCCCACACCUGGCAAUGGCUGCAUUUCUGAAACCCCACUGCUGCGCUGCCUGUAUGCAGGUAAGGCACCAGGUAAGGCAGAGGAAGGGGGAUGCCAAUAGGUGCCUUGAUGCCCUGAGCAGGAUUUGAUGCCCAAAUCCAGGUGUGCAACCCUUUCCGUCCCCAAAUGGCAAAGCCCAGCAGCAGGACACAAGUGAGCCCUCUCCAGGAGGCAGAGCUCAGCCUGGGUCCCCUGCACAGCAACCUUCUUCUGAGGAUGAGGUAAAGCAGCAUGAGUGGGGCCAGAGCUGCUUUUAGUGACAUACUCGUGGUAUGACAAUAUGAAACAGCAGCAGCUGCUGAUGUGAUAUAAGGAAGGGAAGGGAUGCAAGUAGUUCCAUGGCAACUAAAGGAAAGCAAAGAUAAAGGGUGAGGAAGCAUCUCACUAUUAGCACCAGGACCGUGGUCCCACAGGGCAGCUGCGUACCUGCUCGGUGCACUGUGUGCCAACAGAAUCCUCAGUGCCAUCCCCUGGGUACAGCAGUGCUUCCUUGCAUGACAGGCACAGCAGGAGUGGAACGUUCUCACCCAGCGAUGGAAGCAUCCCUCUGAAUUUCUGUGGGCUCUGCAGAAGCAACUUUUGCUUCUUUUGCUUUACAGCGCAGGAACUACAAAGCCCGACGUUCCUUGUGUGGCUUUAGCACAUGAAUUACAGCCUCCUGCGAGCUCCAGCAGCUGCCUCAGUAACCCUCUGAGGAGGUGGUUCUAUCCACAUCGGUUCCAAUUGGGAACAGC